GGCUCAGUAACUGCGAAUUCUUUGUCCUCAGGCAAUAUUCCAGAAGCAUCUGUGUUGGGGUGAGGUCGAUGUCUUGAGGCCCAUUUUUCAGAUGGUGGCUUGUGAGUCAGCAUGCUCAAGAUAUGUAUCCAGCCCAAACCUGCAGCCAGAUUCCCUUAAAAAGUUCAAGUGUGACUUCAGAGAGUGUACAAUGUGCAAAGAGAAGCAGUGAACUGAGGAAGAAAGACACGUGACAGUGUGACAGCACUUGACACAUGGCGGGAAUUCCAUGUGUAGCCACAGGUUUUCUGUAAGAUCUUACUUCUGAAUGAGAUUCUGUGAUUUGCAAAACUAGAAUGGACCAAACUUCUACCAUAGUCCCAACACCCUGUACCGUGGACUCUCAGGCAUGACAAGUAGGUGAUGCUGAGGAUACUAGGAGUUGAUAUGUCCAUCAAAACUUCCCAUGUUAGGACCUCGAUUCCUCAGUGCAGCAGUGGAGUACAGCAGGAGAAGAGCCCUUAUAAGCAGGUUAAUGCUUCAGGAAUCAGCUCUCCAGAAGGUCUGUCAUUGAACCUGGAGCCCACCAGUUCAGCUAGACUGGCUCACCAGCAAGCCUCCAGUAUCUUCCUGUCUCUAAUCCUCUCCUUGUCCUGCAAGUCACAAGUACUUACUAGAGUGCCUGGCUUUUACAUGGGUGCUGGGAACCCAAGCUUGGGUCCAUAUGCUUAAUCAGAAGGCCCUUUGCCCACUGAACCGUAUCUCCAGCCCCAGAGCAGACAGCUAGAAGGCAACAUUACCCUCAUGCUUUGGCUGCUUGCAGCCAUUAUUUGACUCAGUAAAAUUCCUUAGAGCUGGGGUUAACUUUUGACCUUAAACUUCCAGAAACAAGACUCAUGAGCUAAAUAGUCCUCUUUUACUUAUGUUAUCCAGUCUCCAAUAUUCUGAGAUAGCAACAGAAAAUAGACUAACACAGUGGAUGAAACCCAUGUCUUUGGGGAGAUCCUAGUUCUUGCUCUUAAGUGGCUGAUGAUGAUUCUAGGAAUGGCAUUUAAUUUUUGGUCAUCAAAUUAGACCACGGCGUGUCCUUAGCUAAGAUGUCAAGCAAAAGUGGCAUUAGGCCCAAUCAAGUGCAAUGAAAUUCAAAACAAAGCUUUUGGGAAGAAAUAAUAUGUCUUUCCAAAGACCUUCAAAAGAAAGACUACUGUAUAGAGUUGUCAGGUGAUGUCAGAUGAAAAGGUCCAACCAAGGACGAAGCCAGCACAGAGCAAGACAUGAGCCUCGACCUGGACUUGCCCCACCCAUGCCUGUGUUUGUAUCAGGUGAACUAAUAGACCACUGUACCUGCUUCAGCCAAUUGAGUUGGAGUUCUGUUCCUUGUGUCCAAAGCACAAAUGCUCCUUCUGCAGCUUCCUCGGUGCUCCUAAGGCUGUGCCCCGUCACUCUGAGGAGUGCAGCUGCCAGGUGACCUGCUCUGGUUCCCAUGGCAGCAGCCUCUGCAGCCCUAAUCAGAAAACACCAAGUGGCAAAGGCUGCUCACAGGCUCGCAGCAGCAAUUUUAAGGAUGUCCUGUGUGGGGCUGACCCUAGGAAAGGAUUCUAAAAACGAGGCUUGCUUAUGUAAUUUAAAAUCUUAAAAUAACCAUGCUUCAAGUCUGAGAAUCCCUCUGGGGCUCGUGACAGCCUAACCUGGGAUGGAGAGGUCAGAGAUUUUCAGUGAAUGAAAAAUAGGCUAAGAACAGAAUUAUCUCUUAUUCACAGCAAAGGAUAAGAGUAGGUCAGGACUCCAAGCAGUGAAUUAGUGACUGAAUUUAACAACUUCUCACAAAUACCUUUAGCAAUGUAGGAGGAGAGCUGACCCAUUUUGGGGGGUUUAGAAUCAAUAGACUAAUAAAAGUAAUUUUUAAAAUA